AGAAUCAACGCUGGCGGCGUGCCUAACACAUGCAAGUCGAACGAGAAAGUGGAGCAAUCCAUGAGUAUAGUGGCGACCGGGUGAGUAACACGUGACUACCUACCCUUGAGUGGGGGAUAACCUCGGGAAACCGAGGCUAAUACCGCAUAACAUCGAAAGAUCAAAGGAGUAAUCCGCUUUUGGAGGGGUCGCGGCUGAUUAGCUAGUUGGUAAGGUAAUGGCUUACCAAGGCGAAGAUCGGUA
rnacentral:rRNA from 1 species